GCAAGGGCAAAAACACAAGGUAAUCCACGAGGUAGUCCACAAAGCAAACUCCAAUGAAACAGAAAAACAAAAUGUUACAGGUUCAAUAGUGCAACAACAAAAGACAAAGUGAGCUUGAUAUAUAUAGUGAUGAGUUAAUGGGUAAAUGACCAACAGCUGAUAAUCAGUAACGAAAAGGCCGGGCAAAGAACUAUGGGAAAAGGAGUUCAUGACAUGAAACAGUGGAAGGGGAGAGUGCCAUCUAGUGGCCAGUCUAGGGCACCAUCACUGGACACUGUGACAGUGACCCCUGGAGUGGACUCUGAGAGCUCCCGGACUGGAGCAGGCUCUGGAGUGGACUCUGAGGGCUCACGGACUGGAGCGGGCUCUGGUGGCUCACAGACUGGAAGCGGGCUCUUGGGUGGACUCUAAGGGCUCCCGGACUGGAGCAGGCUCUGGAGUGGACUUGGAGGGCCCCCCGGACUGGAGGGAGUUCAUGAGUGGACUCUGAAGGCUCCCAGACUGGAACGAGUUCAUGAAUGGACUCUGAGGGCUCCCGGACUGGAACAGACUCUGGAGUGGCUCUGAGGAUUCCUGGACUGGAGCAGGAGUGACCACCAGAGUCUGAUCCUCCAGAACCAUCGGAGUCAGGUCCUCCAGGACCACCAGACUUGGGACCACCAGAUAUGGGUCCUCCAGGACCAUCUGACCUGGGACCACUGUAGUCGGGUCCUCCAGGACCACUGGACUUGAGACCACCAGAGUCUUUGGUGCCCUCCUUCUUGACCUCCGCUUGAGUGUGAAAAUCAAUGAAGGAUCCUGGGCUUGAUUAGAUGAAGGAGGUGGGGAUGGAACAGCCCCUGCAGGUGGACUCUGGUGGUGGUGGUGGUGAAUUACCUUUCCCUCCUUUCGGAGCUGCAGGUACCUGGAGAAGUUGCAGAAAUCUAGUGACUUCACCAGUUCCAUCUCCCAUUGCGGUAAGGAUUCAUCCAGACAGGUGUUAAAAUGUAUUUAAUGUUAUCACCCUGACAACCCAGCCUCUCCCCCCUUGUCCAAAACUUCAGGGCAAAGGCCCGCACCGCCAUCCCCUUUUGUUGAAGUUUCUCCAGAACUUGAAGAUGGAUUUGUCUUUCCAGGAGCAGAUCUUUGUCUCUCAUGCUGCUGGAUCCAUAAUGGCUGCACUAUUCUGAAACUGAAUCUCAGAGACAAAUUA
ensembl:lncRNA